AUUGAACGCUGGCGGCAGGCCUAACACAUGCAAGUCGAGCGAGCGGCGGACGGGUGAGUAAUGUAUGGGGACUGCCCGAUAGCGGGGGAUAACUACUGGCAACGGUGGCUACUACCGCAUACUAUCGGAUAACCCAUAUGGGAUUAGCUAGUAGGUGGGGUAAAGGCUCACCUAGGCGACGAUCUCUAGCUGGUCUUAGAGGAUGAUCAGCAACACGGGGACUGAGACACGGCCCAGACUCAUACGGAGGCAGCAGUGGGAAAUAUUGCACAAUGGGCGCAAGCCUGAUGCAGCCAUGCAGCGUGUAUGAAGAAGGCCUUAGGGUUGUAAAGUACUUUCAGCGGGGAGGCGUUACCCGCAGAAGAAGUACCGGCUAACUCCGUGCCAGCAGCCGCGGUAAUUC
rnacentral:rRNA from 1 species